AUGCACGCUGGCGGCGUGCCUCAUACAUGCAAGUCGAGCGAACAGACGAGGAGCUUGCUCCUCUGACGUUAGCGGCGGACGGGUGAGUAACACGUGGAUAACCUACCUAUAAGACUGGGAUAACUUCGGGAAACCGGAGCUAAUACCGGAUAACAUGUUGAACCGCAUGGUUCAACAGUGAAAGACGGUCUUGCUGUCACUUAUAGAUGGAUCCGCGCCGCAUUAGCUAGUUGGUAAGGUAACGGCUUACCAAGGCAACGAUGCGUAGCCGACCUGAGAGGGUGAUCGGCCACACUGGAACUGAGACACGGUCCAGACUCCUACGGGAGGCAGCAGUAGGGAAUCUUCCGCAAUGGGCGAAAGCCUGACGGAGCAACGCCGCGUGAGUGAAGAAGGUCUUCGGAUCGUAAAACUCUGUUAUUAGGGAAGAACAAAUGUGUAAGUAACUAUGCACGUCUUGACGGUACCUAAUCAGAAAGCCACGGCUAACUACGUG
rnacentral:rRNA from 1 species